UACGUAGGGCGCGAGCGUUGUCCGGAAUUAUUGGGCGUAAAGAGCUCGUAGGUGGCUUGUUGCGUCUGCCGUGAAAGUCCGGGGCUCAACUCCGGAUCUGCGGUGGGUACGGGCAGACUAGAGUGCGGUAGGGGAGACUGGAAUUCCUGGUGUAGCGGUGGAAUGCGCAGAUAUCAGGAGGAACACCGAUGGCGAAGGCAGGUCUCUGGGCCGCAACUGACGCUGAGGAGCGAAAGCAUGGGGAGCGAACAGG
rnacentral:rRNA from 1 species